GGCUCAGAACGAACGCUGGCGGCGCGUUUAAGCAUGCAAGUCGAGCGGCAAGGGCCUCGGGCCCCUAGAGCGGCGGACGGGUGAGUAACACGUGGACAAUCUGCCCCCCGGCCCGGGAUAGCCCAGGGAAACCUGGAUUAAUACCGGAUGAGACGGGACCCGCGAUGGCGGGAUCCGGGAAAGGCGCUGCGGCGCCGCCGGGGGAUGAGUCUGCGUCCCAUUAGCUGGACGGCGGGGUAACGGCCCACCGUGGCGACGAUGGGUAGCCGGCCUGAGAGGGUGACCGGUCACACUGGGACUGAGAUACGGCCCAGACUCCUACGGGAGGCAGCAGUGGGGGAUAUUGCACAAUGGGCGCAAGCCUGAUGCAGCCGACGCCGCGUGAGGGAUGACGGCUUUCGGGUUGUAAACCUCUUUCGACACGGAACAAGGCUCUGCUUUUGUGGGGUUGAGGGUACGUGUAUAAGAAGCGCCGGCUAACUACGUGCCAGCCGCCGC
rnacentral:rRNA from 1 species